AACGAACGCUGGCGGCAUGCCUAACACAUGCAAGUCGAACGAGACCUUCGGGUCUAGUGGCGCACGGGUGCGUAACGCGUGGGAACCUGCCCUUAGGUUCGGAAUAACUCCCCGACAGGGGUGCUAAUACCGGAUAAUGUCUUCGGACCAAAGAUUUAUCGCCUUUGGAUGGGCCCGCGUUGGAUUAGCUAGUUGGUAGGGUAAAAGCCUACCAAGGCGACGAUCCAUAGCUGGUCUGAGAGGAUGAUCAGCCACACUGGGACUGAGACACGGCCCAGACUCCUACGGGAGGCAGCAGUGGGGAAUAUUGGACAAUGGGCGAAAGCCUGAUCCAGCAAGGCCGCGUGAGUGAUGAAGGCCUUAGGGUUGUAAAGCUCUUUUACCCGGGAUGAUAAUGACAGUACCGGGAGAAUAAGCGCCGGCUAACUCCGUG
rnacentral:rRNA from 1 species